GGCUGAACGCUGCCGCCGUGCCUACUCCAUGCAAGUCGAGCGAACGGCCGAGAAGCUUGCUUCUCUGAUGUUAGCGGCGGACGGGUGAGUAACACGUGGAUAACCUACCUAUAAGACUGGGCUAACUUCGGGAAACCGUAGCUAAUACCGGAUAAUAUUUUGAACCGCAUGGUUCAAAAGUGAAAGACGGUCUUGCUGUCACUUAUAGAUGGAUCCGCGCUGCAUUAGCUAGUUGGUAAGGUAACGGCUUACCAAGGCACCGAUGCAUAGCCGACCUGAGAGGGUGAUCGGGCACACUGGAAGUGAGACACGGUCCAGACUCCUACGGGAGGCAGCAGUAGGGAAUCUUCCGCAAUGGGCGAAAGCCUGACGGAGCAACGCCGCGUGAGUGAUGAAGGUCUUCGGAUCGUAAAACUAUGUUAUUAGGGAAGAACAUAUGUGUAAGUAACUGUGCACAUCUUGACGGUACCUAAACAGAAAGCCACGGCUAACUACGUG
rnacentral:rRNA from 1 species